CGCCUUUAUAUUGUCCACCCUCCGUUUCUGUCGUCCUCUGUGGGCGGGUCGUUCCUUUAGCAUCUUUUCUUUUUUCCUUUUUCUUUUUCUGCGUUAAUUUUCCCCCGAAUGGCUUUCUUGAGCAAGGUUGCGGUAGGGUGUCGCCGAUCCGGUGAUGUAAAUAUGUAUAAGUCGGUAGAUUUUUCUUUUUGAGUUGUAGACUUUUUGAUUCUUGCCGGAUCGAGAUCGUUGUACAGUUAUGGAUAGGGCCGUUGGGGAGCUCGAUCAUGGCAGAAAUAGGGUCACGGAUUUGAAGAGGAAGAGGGCAGUCAAGUGUGCUGCUUUUCUGAUGGGCGAGCGGUGUGGGAAGAUCAAACGUGCUGUCUCGAGGAGAGGAUUACGGUUUCCACCGGCGGAGGGGUUCAGCCAUGGCUGUGGUUGUUGUUCUGGAAAGUCGAUGAUCAACAACUAUGCCAACUUUCGCAAGAGCGGGCUGCCCAAGCGGAUAAUGUUCUUCUCAAAGGGAGAGUGGUGCGAUUUCCCGGCGCAUCUAAGAGGACCUCUCGUGGAUGCGUUUGGCAGCAAUAGAUCCGCGGUUGAGGUGGCGUUGGAUGCGCAAACGUGCCUCGUUGAUUUUCUUCACAUGCUGCUGAUCGAUCUAAGUAGUGGGAUGCAGCAAUCAGUUGCGUGGAUUGACGAGUCCGAUAGGUGCUUCUUUCCGAAGUUCUUUUUUGAUGAUAAUGAUGCCAAGGACGGAGAGAAGUGCAGGCACCCAAUGAGUGCAAAUGCACCUGAGAUUGAGGUGAAGCUUGAAAUCGAUAUUAGCGCUGCAGAUAGUUCGAAGACAGAGGAUCAAAGCGAUGUAUCAAUUUCACAUGCAAAGAUUGUAAGUGUCCAGCGCAGCCCGCUCAGAGAUGAGCACAGCGACUUGGAUCAGAAUUCUGGUUCUGACCGAAACCAGCCUGCUGAGAUUAAAGAAGUAGUCGACGAAAAUGGUGAUUUGCUGCGCGAGGGAGGAUCUCUUGGUCGAGGAUUAUCCUUUAUGAGCCAGGGGGUCCUAGAAACUUUUGGUUCAGAAUCUCUGCGUGACAAAAUAGUGGCUCUGGACAGAGGUUCUAGUGACUAUACUGCUGUUCGCGAUGUGUUUCUUUUGGGCUUGGGUACGCUUGUGACUGCUAGCCACAUAGUCGGGAUAUAUCGUUACUCCCCAACAAGCAGUUCUGCACAGGCUCGGAUGCAGCUAUUUGAAAACCAGGUUCAUGUUAUGAAGAGCUACCGUGGUGAUGCAAAUGUUCGGUAUGCAUGGCAUGGUUCUUCAAGAGAUGGUAUUGUUGAGAUUAUGCUCCAUGGAUUCGGAAGGAUCCGAAAUCCUAUAGGUGGAGUGGCAUAUGGGAGUGGCGUCUACCUUUCAUCAAAAGAAUGCGCCCUUAUCAGUGCCAGUUUUUCUGAUGUUGACGAAAAAGGUUUGCAACACAUGGUAUUGUGCCGUGUGAUAAUGGGAAAUAUGGAGCAAGUCCCUCUUGGUUCUGCACAGUUCUGUCCUAGCAGUGACAGUUUUGACAGCGGUGUGGACGAUAUUAGAAAUCCCAGACGUUAUGUCAUAUGGGGGACCCAUAUGAACACUCAUAUACACCCAGAGUAUGUUGUGAGUUUUAAGGUGCCUCCUGUUGAAGAGUACUGGGCUCGAUUAAAAGAAAGUCAAAACACAGUUCCGUUAGUGGCAGUUACAAAUUCUCCAUUGCCCGACACCCAUGUGAAACAACAUGCCCCUGUUGCUGAUUUGGGAAGCUCAACUGUGCCUGUGAAGAGGCCAACAUCUACGUGGAUGCCAUUUCCACUGCUGUUUGCUGCAAUUGAGAAACAUAUAUCUGCUGCAAAUAAAAAGCGCCUUGACUGUUAUUAUGAUGAAUUCAAGAGGAAAAAGUUGACCAGGGAAGAACUUAUUAAAAGGUUAAGAUCAAUUGCUGGGGAUGAUCUGCUGAUAGCAACCUUGAAAAAUUUGCGUUCCUGUAGAUAUGGCGUUCCUGUUUCGAAGUAGACAAAACUUUGGGGAAGUCUUAGGAAAGAUAAGAUCAGCAGGGUGGGCUGCACAAAUUGUGGCAGGAUGAUGGGACACAAACUUUUGCAGGGUUUUCAGAACCUUCAAGGAGAAGCUAAUACGUUGGCCACAAGCAGCUUUUGGAGGUGGAAUAAUCGAGCCAAGCUGUUCAUCGUCACGGUUUCCUGUCUGUUUGGAAAACCCAUUUGCUUGGAGCUCAGUAGUGGAUCGCAAAAGUUCUUGGUGUUCAUAAUAUUGACCAUCGCUUUCUGCGAGAUGGAUCGUAACAAAAAUGUACGCGAGGAUGAAUAUUUAGAGAAUGUAGUCAACAGAAAGCAAACGAAAAGGAAGGAACUCGCUUUGGCUUUAUCUCUCAUGCGUCAACCUGUUAUAUCCGUUUUAGAUGUGGAGCCUCCUGAAAAGGUCGCUGCUGUGUUGCUGAGCCUUCUGUUUUUAUUCCUUUCUGGUAGCCUGCAACUGGCUC